CCUACGGGGGGCUGCAGUGGGGAAUAUUGGACAAUGGGCGAAAGCCUGAUCCAGCCAUGCCGCGUGUGUGAAGAAGGUCUUCGGAUUGUAAAGCACUUUAAGUUGGGAGGAAGGGCAUUAACCUAAUACGUUAGUGUUUUGACGUUACCGACAGAAUAAGCACCGGCUAACUCUGUGCCAGCAGCCGCGGUAAUACAGAGGGUGCAAGCGUUAAUCGGAAUUACUGGGCGUAAAGCGCGCGUAGGUGGUUUGUUAAGUUGAAUGUGAAAUCCCCGGGCUCAACCUGGGAACUGCAUCCAAAACUGGCAAGCUAGAGUAUGGUAGAGGGUAGUGGAAUUUCCUGUGUAGCGGUGAAAUGCGUAGAUAUAGGAAGGAACACCAGUGGCGAAGGCGACUACCUGGACUGAUACUGACACUGAGGUGCGAAAGCGUGGGGAGCAAACAGGAUUAGAUACCCCGGUAGUC
rnacentral:rRNA from 1 species